AUUGAACGCUGGCGGCAUGCUUUACACAUGCCAGUCGAACGGUAACAGGCCGCCAGGUGCUGACGAGUGGCGAACGGGUGAGUAAUGCAUCGGAACGUGCCCAGACGUGGGGGAUAACUAAUCGAAAGAGUAGCUAAUACCGCAUACGAUCUAUGGAUGAAAGCGGGGGACCGUAAAGCCUCGCUCGAUUUGGCGGCCUGGGGGCGGACGAUGUAGGAGUAGGUAGUUGGUGGGGUAAAGGCCAACCAAGGCAACGAUCCGUAGCUGGUCUGAGAGGACGACCAGCCACACUGGGACUGAGACACGGCCCAGACUCCUACGGGAGGCAGCAGUGGGGAAUUUUGGACAAUGGGCGCAAGCCUGAUCCAGCAAUGCCGCGUGCGGGAAGAAGGCCUUCGGGUUGUAAACUGCUUUUGUACGGAACGAAACGGCUCUGGUUAAUACCCGGGGCUAAUGACGGUACCGUAAGAAUAAGCACCGGCUAACUACGUG
rnacentral:rRNA from 1 species